AAUACUAAUAAUUAAUAGUUAAUGAUGAGGAUGGUGAUGUCACCCUGUCUUCGGCCAAGAGGGGGGGGGGGAAGAAGGGGGAGAAUUGUAUAAAAGUUUCUCUCUGAUUUAACUCUUUAAAAGGCUGAACGCGCGAAGUCUGACUUCAUCUCUUCACCGAGAGAGAAAAUCACGUACACUCCUUUUUCACUUCUGGCCUUUCUCUUACUUUUUAUAAAGAGAUUUCCUAUGGCACCGAGCAGUUCCAAUAAAGCAGUUUCGGUCUACCCGAGGCUCUCUUGAGCGCAGGGUAUUAAAACCAGCAAUCUGGCAAGGCGUCUCCAACGUCGAAGGGGCUGAGAGACUGCUAGCCAGUGCAGAUGUCAUGAAGCCAGUCUGGCCUGAUUUUUGUUUUGUUUGCUAUUAUUGUUCCAAUACUUUGUUCGAGUAAGAAUUAAGAAAAUCUGUAUCCUGGGAUCUGUAGUAGAAUUAUGGGUCACUUUUUCCUAUGCUCCGUGAACAGAGUCAAACAGAAAUAAAGCGGUUUGGGCCAAGCCUAUUUUAGACUGAAAGUGUAAUCUCUACAGAAAGAAUUCGUGGUGGCCGCGGCGGUUGCAGCAACAGCACUCUCUAAAGAGUUUAAGCUUAUCUCUCCUGUUUGCUGCGAUUUAUGAUUUUUUGCCAUAAAAUGUGUGUUUUAAGGGUGAGGGAGGAGAUCAUGGUUGUCCUCCCUUCCCCCCCCCCGAAGUGAAAGGGUGUGAUGUAAACCAGCAACAAAUUAUUUCACUUGUAUUAGUGGAUGAUGAAGAUACCUAAUAAAUCUGUGUUCUUUGCUCAUAAUUAGGUUUGGUAGUUAGGAAAAUUGCUUACUACUUUCUUUCUAGAACAUAAAGUACUCUUGGUGAGGCAACCUGAGGGCAAAUGACGACCUUCGCCAAGUUAGACGUUUCCGGGGAAAGAAAACCAGGACCUGGCAUUGACAAGAUCACUCCAAGAGAUGGAGGGUAUAACGCAAAAUCCAGCAAUCACUUAUCUAUUUUUGGGAGUCAGACCGACGUAGACAUGAGCCUGAAAGUAACUCAGGAGGAAUUCCAGGGUACGGGUUGACUUGGGGGUGAAGGAUUCCCCCUAUAGCUGUGGCAGAAGAGAAAGCGAUCCGCUGCUGCUUUUACUAGCACAUAUUAUUACCCUUCUUUUAAGUCCGCGGCAAGGAGUUUUAAACUUCCUUCCGAAAAAAAAAAAAACAAAAAAAACCGGCCCAGCGCAUAUCUCUCCGGCUCAUGUCACGGGGAAAUACAACAGUUUUCUGAACUGGCUGCGGUGAAAUCAUCAUCAUCAUCAUCUCAUCAUCAUCAUCAUCAUCAUCAUCAUCAUCAUCAUCAUCAUCGCUAAGACUCCCCAGUUCAGAACAUUCCUGACAAGUUACAUUCAACUGAUUCUCCAAGAGCCACAGCUUACAUACCAGAAUCAUCUCACCAAUGAAAUGCAGCCAUUCCUGGGAUGCUGAGUGGAGUCCAGAUGUUGGGCAACAAACUGCACCAGAAAGCAGGCGAAAGUUUGAACAGGAAUGUAAAGGAAUCACCCUCCCCAACAUUAUGCAAAACCUUUUGUGUGUAUUUGUCUUAAUGUGCAUGCAGCAAAAUCAGAAUAAUAGUUUGUUGUAUUUGUGUCUUAAAUCAUCCAAUGGGCAUUCUUCAUACUUUUAUCUAUAUAUUUUUAAACAUCCAGAAGCUAGAUAGAUUUAAUAAAUCUUCAAUUAUCUCUGG